GACGAACGCUGGCGGCGUGCUUAACACAUGCAAGUCGAACGGUGAACGAGGGAGCUUGCUCCCUCCGGAUCAGUGGCGAACGGGUGAGUAACACGUGAGCAAUCUGCCCCGAACUCUGGGAUAAGCGUUGGAAACGACGUCUAAUACCGGAUACGACGCGGGAGGGCAUCCUCUCCGCGUGGAAAGAACUUCGGUUCGGGAUGAGCUCGCGGCCUAUCAGCUUGUUGGUGAGGUAACGGCUCACCAAGGCGACGACGGGUAGCCGGCCUGAGAGGAUGACCGGCCACACUGGGACUGAGACACGGCCCAGACUCCUACGGGAGGCAGCAGUGGGGAAUAUUGCACAAUGGGCGCAAGCCUGAUGCAGCAACGCCGCGUGAGGGACGACGGCCUUCGGGUUGUAAACCUCUUUUAGCAGGGAAGAAGCGAAAGUGACGGUACCUGCAGAAAAAGCACCGGCUAACUACGUG
rnacentral:rRNA from 1 species